CCUCUUCCACCGUCCAUGGCACUUUGGCAAUUACAAAUUGAUACAUAUCAAUUCUUCAAGGUGAAGAAAACCAUUUGGGAGUUGUUGUACGUACACAAUACAUAUAAGGACCCUCUUGAUCAUUUAAAAGCUCUUCACUAAAUAAACCAUACGGCGUCCCUCUUUAAGUUAAUUAUCUUGCUAAUUUUCAUCUUGGUUUGGAGGUUCUGUUUAUUAAAGUUUCGGGAAGGCUUCUCUACAGUUCAUCCUAUUCUCCUUCUUCAAAGAACUAAGGAUUGGCAUAAGUGUUACGACGAGUUCGUUGUUGGAUUGUAUUGAUGACUUAAGGUACAGUUAGAUAGACUAAUCGACCUCCCAGUAGACAAGAUCUGAUAUCAGUUGUUUGGUAAGCUCCCUUGUUUGGAGUUGCCAGGUCUUUUGGAGUUCUUCUUUUGUGCUUACAGACUUGAUGGGUAGGCCCCCUAUCCCGACCAUGAUACAGUUAUAAAUUUUGUUUAGAGGCUUGUAGACGAGUCCUGUAUAUAGUGUG